UGGAUCCCAUCAAUUUCUCAUUAUCCAAUAGUGAUCAGAGUGACAAAUUUGAGGUCAUAACUACAUAAAAAAAAAAUCAAAACCUAAUCAGUAUAUGAAUUAAUUAAGUCAAAAGAUAUGGACUUUAGUCUAAUGGUUCUCCCACUAUUUUAUAUGAAUUGGUAGCCUCUACCUUCAAUUUGAGGGAUUACUUCAAUUUUUUAGUGGGUACUAGAAUCCACACAGAUUGCACACAAGUCCGACUUUGGCCAGCUCACCCAUGUGUAUCUAUGGGUAGGUUCUUUAAUCAAUUAUUUUAUCAAAUAAUUUUUAGUAAUUGAUUUAGCCUCAAGUUACAUUUCAAUUGACUUUGAUCUUCUCUACAAGCCCUGGUUAGGUCCAAUUAUUAACAUGAUCAUACUUAGGAAUCUAACUAUCAAAUGAUCAGAUCUGACUAUGACUAGCUAACCUGACCACUUGCUAGAAAGUCUUGACUGAGUCAUCAUAUUAUGAAUGACAAUUUCAAUAGCAGAUGAGCACCAGGCCUUUGGGCCUUCAAUGAUCAUCAUACUAAUGGAUCUAUUAUCAUCCAACUUAAUGAGAGGCUAUGAUUUAGUUAUC
rnacentral:lncRNA from 1 species